GAGAUCCUGACCCCGCGCGGGAGGGUCGGGAGAGACUUCAAUGCUGUUGAUGCGGACGAGAUGGGUGUCGGUUCCGCAGUCCUUCCAGUCCCACUUCUUGCCUCCGGGAACACCAGGGAACAGGACCUCCUGCUCUUGAACUGGAGAGGCUACCGUGACGCCAACCGCGACAGCAGUCCAGAAAAGCAGACCGAAGCGAGCCAUGCUGAGAGUAGAGGGGCACCGUCGUC
rnacentral:misc_RNA from 1 species